rnacentral:rRNA from 1 species
GGAAUAUUGGUCAAUGGGCGAGAGCCUGAACCAGCCAAGUAGCGUGCAGGAAGACGGCCCUAUGGGUUGUAAACUGCUUUUAUCAGGGGAUAAAGUUUCCCACGUGUGGGUUUUUGUAGGUACCUGAUGAAUAAGGACCGGCUAAUUCCGUGCCAGCAGCCGCGGUAAUACGGAAGGUCCGGGCGUUAUCCGGAUUUAUUGGGUUUAAAGGGAGCGCAGGCUGAUUAUUAAGCGUGACGUGAAAUGUAGCCGCUCAACGGCUGAACUGCGUCGCGAACUGGUAGUCUUGAGUGAGUUCGAUGUUGGCGGAAUUCGUGGUGUAGCGGUGAAAUGCUUAGAUAUCACGAAGAACUCCGAUUGCGAAGGCAGCCAACAAGGCCUUUACUGACGCUAAAGCUCGAAGGUGCGGGUAUCGAACA